UGGGCCUUUUCUUGGUUUUUCUCUCAUCACCCUGUGACAUACCUAAAACGUUGCUUCGGCGGGAACAGACGGCCCUGUAACAACGGGCCGCCCCCGCCAGAGGACCCCUAACUCUGUUUUUAUAAUGUUUUUCUGAGUAAACAAGCAAAUAAAUUAAAACUUUCAACAACGGAUCUCUUGGCUCUGGCAUCGAUGAAGAACGCAGCGAAAUGCGAUAAGUAAUGUGAAUUGCAGAAUUCAGUGAAUCAUCGAAUCUUUGAACGCACAUUGCGCCCGCCAGUAUUCUGGCGGGCAUGCCUGUUCGAGCGUCAUUACAACCCUCAGGCCCCCGGGCCUGGCGUUGGGGAUCGGCGGAAGCCCCCUGUGGGCACACGCCGUCCCUCAAAUACAGUGGCGGUCCCGCCGCAGCUUCCAUUGCGUAGUAGCUAACACCUCGCAACUGGAGAGCGGCGCGGCCAUGCCGUAAAACACCCAACUUCUGAAUGUUGACCUCGAAUCAGGUAGGAAUACCCGCUGAACUUAAGCAUAUCAAAUAAGCGGAGGAA
rnacentral:rRNA from 1 species